rnacentral:rRNA from 1 species
GACGAACGCUGGCGGCGUGCCUAACACAUGCAAGUCGAACGAAGCAUAGCAAUAUGCUUAGUGGCGGACGGGUGAGUAACGCGUGAACAAUCUGCCCUGUACAAAGGAAUAGCCUCGGGAAACCGGGAUUAAAACCGUAUGACACUUUAGUAUCGCAUGAUAAGAAAGUCAAAUCGAAUAGAGGUAUGGGAUGAGUUCGCGUCUGAUUAGCUGGUUGGCGGGGUAACGCCCACCAAGGCGACGAUCAGUAGCCGGCCUGAGAGGGUGAACGGCCACACUGGAACUGAGACACGGUCCAGACUCCUACGGGAGGCAGCAGUGGGGAAUAUUGCACAAUGGAGGGAACUCUGAUGCAGCGACGCCGCGUGAGUGAAGAAGGUCUUCGGAUCGUAAAACUCUGUCCUUGGUGAAGAAAAGGACGGUAGCCAAGGAGGAAGCCCCGGCUAACUACGUGCCAGCAGCCGCGGUAAGACGUAGCGUG